UACGUAGGGACCAAGCGUUGUUCGGAUUUACUGGGCGUAAAGGGCGCGUAGGCGGUGCGGUAAGUCACUUGUGAAAUCUCUGAGCUUAACUCAGAACGGCCAAGUGAAACUGUCAAGCUAGAGUGCAGAAGGGGCAAUCGGAAUUCUUGGUGUAGCGGUGAAAUGCGUAGAUAUCAAGAGGAACACCUGAGGUGAAGACGGGUUGCUGGGCUGACACUGACGCUGAGGCGCGAAAGCCAGGGGAGCAAACGGG
rnacentral:rRNA from 1 species